CCAAAAACCAGUUUCUUCCCCUUCUUCUCUGCAGAAGCCAUGCCUCCACCACCAACUCCGUCAACUACCGCCUCUCCACCACCACAACUCCCACCAAAAGCCAUCAUGGCUUCUAACAACUAAAACCCAUCACCACUAUCACAUUCUCUAUCUUCCUCAACAACUAAUUUCACCCAUUUUCACGCCAUUGAACCCUAGGUGUGAAGUUGGUGAAACAGGUUGAUGAGCUAUAAGUAAUUGGAGCAGGACAUGGAGCGGGAAGAGUAAUAGAGGCAUGGGUUGGAGGUUUUGAGUGCUUUUCAGAAAUUAGGGGAAAACCCCUCAACAGGGGUAGCGAGGCUCAACAGAGAUUGUGAUCCCAUUCCCAGCAAGGUUAGCGAGGCUCAACACCCAUCGCGAACCAAAGUCUAUUAGUUUGUCUUGGAAAUUGCACCAAACCCCUCAAAGUUCAAAUGUUGUUUAGGAUAAAUAGACAAUCUUGAGAUUAAAUUUCUCUAGAACUUGAGACAAGCCCGUGGAAGUUCGUAUCUCUAGAAGGAGGAAAUGCGAAUCAACUCCAAGUAAGAAAUAAAGACUAGAUGAGUUGCAGAGCGAAAAGAGCAAAGACACGGAAAAAGCCGAAGGAAACUCUAGCGGAAAAGAAGUGAAGAAUGUGGUAUGGAAAAAUCAAAGCCGAAGGAAACUUCACCACAACCACCACCACGAGUUCUCAAAUCAUCCAACAACUACACUCCAUCAUUCUCCUAUCCCCUAGCCACUCAUUACAUCAACCCCUCAACCUAUUCUUCCCACUGAAACCCUAGUUUUAGGGGUUGAUGAAAUAAGUGAGCUAGAAACGCAAUUGGAGACAUGGAAAAGCAGGAGAAGACGCAAUACAAGCAUGGGUCGAAGUCUGAAGUGGAUUCAGAGAGUUGGUAAGGAUUAAUUUUAAAACACUAAUUUACUAUUUUUUGGGGAUUUUUGGGGUUUUUGAUUGCAUGUAUAAAUAGGGUUCAUGGGUGUUGAUAAACUUUGUGCUUGGUUGAACCGAGUUACCCCCAAUUUGGGAUACUGUUAAUUUUAAUUUUUAGCAAUCAAUUUCAAUUUUAGGGUUCUUCAAGUUCAA